rfam:Triticum aestivum genome assembly, contig: Triticum_aestivum_CS42_TGACv1_scaffold_420391_5BL
AAUGUACUCCCUCCGUCCCAAAAUUCUUGUCUUAGAUUUUGUCUAGAUACGGAUGUAUCAAGUCACAUUUUAGUAUUAGAUACAUCCGUAUCUAGACAAAUCUAACACAAGAAAUUUGGGACAGAGGGAGUAGUUG